CCCUACGGGGGGCAGCAGUGAGGAAUAUUGGUCAAUGGGCGAGAGCCUGAACCAGCCAAGUCGCGUGAGGGAGUACUGCCCUAUGGGUUGUAAACCUCUUUUGUCGGGGAGCAAAAGCCGGACGUGUCCGGCUGUGAGAGUACCCGAAGAAAAAGCAUCGGCUAACUCCGUGCCAGCAGCCGCGGUAAUACGGAGGAUGCGAGCGUUAUCCGGAUUUAUUGGGUUUAAAGGGUGCGCAGGCGGAGGCACAAGUCAGCGGUAAAAUCGCGGGGCUCAACCCCGCUCCGCCGUUGAAACUGUGUCCC
rnacentral:rRNA from 1 species